UACAGAGGUCCCAAGCGUUGUGCGGAUUCAUUGGGCGUAAAGGGUGCGUAGGCGGUGGGGUAAGUUGGAUGUGAAAUCUUGGGGCUUAACCUCAAAAUUGCAUUCAAUACUGCUCCGCUCGAGUUCUGUAGAGGAGAUUGGAAUUUACGGUGUAGCAGUGAAAUGCGUAGAUAUCGUAAGGAACGCCAGUGGCGAAAGCGAAUCUCUGGGCAGCAACUGACGCUGAGGCACGAAGGCCAGGGGAGCAAACGGG
rnacentral:rRNA from 1 species